rnacentral:rRNA from 1 species
UGGGGAAUAUUGCACAAUGGGCGCAAGCCUGAUGCAGCCAUGCCGCGUGUAUGAAGAAGGCCUUCGGGUUGUAAAGUACUUUCAGUCGGGAGGAAGGUGUCAAGGUUAAUAACCUUGGCAAUUGACGUUACCGACAGAAGAAGCACCGGCUAACUCCGUGCCAGCAGCCGCGGUAAUACGGAGGGUGCAAGCGUUAAUCGGAAUUACUGGGCGUAAAGCGCACGCAGGCGGUUGAUUGAGUCAGAUGUGAAAUCCCCGGGCUUAAACCGGGAAUUGCAUCUGAUACUGGUCAGCUAGAGUCUUGUAGAGGGGGGUAGAAUUCCAUGUGUAGCGGUGAAAUGCGUAGAGAUGUGGAGGAAUACCGGUGGCGAAGGCGGCCCCCUGGACAAAGACUGACGCUCAGGUGCGAAAGCGUGGGGAGCAAACAGG